UACGUAGGGUGCGAGCGUUAAUCGGAAUUACUGGGCGUAAAGCGUGCGCAGGCGGUCUGUUAAGACCGAUGUGAAAUCCCCGGGCUUAAACCUGGGAACUGCAUUGGUGACUGGCAGGCUUUGAGUGUGGCAGAGGGAGGUAGAAUUCCACGUGUAGCAGUGAAAUGCGUAGAGAUGUGGAGGAAUACCGAUGGCGAAGGCAGCCUCCUGGGCCAACACUGACGCUCAUGCACGAAAGCGUGGGGAGCAAACAGG
rnacentral:rRNA from 1 species